AAAAAAAAUAAAUAAAACCUUUACCCAUAUCUCUGGAAAGGCAGAAAGUUCAUUUUUGGGAGAACUGUAUUCCAACCAGCAAAGGGAUUGUGAAUCUUGGGUGAACUAACGCAAAAUAAAAGGGUUUCCACCUUCUCUUCACAGGGCUUCCCACUCCCAGUGGGAUAGAACACAAAAGAAAGGAAAUCUCUCAUGGAGAUGCAUCUCGAUGCAAAGGUCCUUGCCAGUCUGCGGGCACAUUCUGUCUCCUACGUCAGUCUACCAAGGAAGUAAUCACCGUAGCUAUUUCUCAAGGGUCUCCAACAGAGUAGGUAAGCAUUUUGCAUCUAUUACUGCACUUCAUUAUGCUAAAUUAUAAUUUCUUUUUUUUUUAAGAUUUAUAUAUUUGAAAGAGAGAGAGCACAUGGAGGGAGGGGCAGAGGGAGAGGGAGAAGCAGGCUCCCCACUGAAUGCAGAACCCUAUGCUGGUUCGAUCCCAGGACGCUGAGAUCAAGACCUGAGCCAAAAUCAAGAGUCGGCCGCUUAACCAACUGAGCCACCCAGGCGCCCCCUGAAUUAUAAUUUUUAGGUGAACUUAUGACUCAGGUACAAAUGUGAAAUAAACAUGUCAAACGUUUUAUUCAACUCAUCAAUUAAUAGGAAACCAGUAAGAUGUUAAAACUGGUUCAAAUAAGGGCGCCUGGGUGGCUCAGUGAGUUAAGUGUCUGCCUUCGGCUCAGGUCAUGAUCUCAGGGUCCUGGGAUCAAAUCUCACAUCAGGCUCCCUGCUCAGCUGGGAGUCUGCUUCUCCCUCUGCCUGCCAAUGCUUAUGCUCUCUCUCUCUCAAACAAAUAAAUAAAAUCUUUUUAAAAAACUUAAAAACUGGUUCAAAUAAGAAUUGGAAUUACAGAGAUUUAUAUUCUCCACCAGGCAAAAUUCACUGGUAUUCCUAUGAACAGGAAUCGUUUGCAUUACUAUGAAUAGGAAGUGUUACCAUUGGUUUUCUCAACUUAAUUUCUACCCUUAGAGAGUUGUUUAAAAAAAAGGAAAAG
rnacentral:lncRNA from 1 species